UACGGGGGGAGCAAGCGUUGUUCGGAUUUACUGGGCGUAAAGGGCGCGUAGGCGGCCACCGCAAGUCGACUGUGAAAUCUCCGGGCUUAACCCCGGAAAGGUCAGCCGAUACUGCGGGGCUAGAGUGCAGAAGGGGCAACUGGAAUUCUCGGUGUAGCGGUGAAAUGCGUAAAUAUCGAGAGGAACACCUGCGGCGAAGGCGGGUUGCUGGGCUGACACUGACGCUGAUGCGCGAAAGCUAGGGGAGCGAACGGG
rnacentral:rRNA from 1 species